GUUCUCCUUUCCUUUAUUAGUAGAGAUUCGUUAACUGUAAAUUACAGCGUUAGCUACCGUUAUCCCAGCGCACGAGUGUACUUUAUUAGCAUUGGCACAAACAAUACACUUUAAUAAGUUGAAUAUCCUCUCUCUGUCAAAGUCCCCGGACGGCAACACAGCACGGCAACAGAAGUUCUGGCCGCGGUGGUUCCUGUUCACAACGCCGAUAAAGACCUCGUAAAGGCGUCAGAACGCGGUUUGUCGAGUUUCAGAUCGACAAAAAGAUUCUGAACUGAGAUGAACGGGUUUUAAAAAAAAAAUAAAGUAAAGAGAAAGGAGAGAAUAAGGCCAGCAAGCUCAUUUGUACAGUUAGUUACUAUUUACAGACUGUAAAAUCAUUUACCCUGAAAUGAUAUGGGUUGUCUCCCUCUUGUGGUUUAAAAUAGUCACCGAAAGAAAAAUAUAUAUAUUAUAAUAAUAAUAAUCACAACAUGCUUUAAAUGACUCCCAGUCCUAAAAGAACCAUGCCCAUCGCAAAACCAGUCCUGAACAGACACCGAGACAAUAUUUUAAUAUUUAAUUUGGAACUACCUCUGAUCCUGGGGAAUGGAGACAUUGGUCAGAGUCGGGGCCAAUCCCACACAGCCCAUCAACACCUUCUCUAGGCUGGCACGGUGCUGCUACAGAGACCGACUCCUGGAGCCCUGACCAGACAGUCCCAAGACGACCCCCGAUGUUACAACAGCGUUACUGCUCUGCUCAAUGCAUCCUCGUACCUGAACGCCUCACUACCAGACCACAGAACGCCUCACUACCGGACCACAGACCACCUCACUACCGGACCACAGACCACCUCACUACCGGACCACAGACCACCUCACUACCGGACCACAGACCACCUUACUACCGGACCACAGACCACCUCACUACCGGACCACAGACCGCCUCACUACCGGACCACAGAACGCCUCACUACCGGACCGUGUACCCCCAGAUCAGACCACAGAAUGCCUCACUACCGGACCGUGUUCCUCCAGAUCGGACCACAGGCUACGCAGACGCCCUCCGUCGAGGACAUGACCCCGUCUGAUGUCUCACGACGACACACUGGCAGUUUGAGCACACUUUGGGGCCGCAGGGAGAACGACGGAUGGUCCAUCAGCCAGCCGGCGCCGUUUGAGGCGUGUUCACGACGGUACGGCCUACAGGGGUCAGAGGUCAGUCAGCGAGGGCGUCGCGUCGGGUGAGAGAGAGGCGGAGCCGAGAGGCUGAGACGACAACAAGUAAACAAAUAAAUAGAUUAAAUAAAAGGCUUCACAUGUCCUCAUGGUAUACGGUGAUGCGAUUAGCAGACGACUCAGCUUAGCGUCAACACAAGUUAAGAGUGCGCUACACAUUAACGUUUUGGUAAAUGCAAGUAGAGUAAGAAAGUAGCAGUGUUACAGUUAUCCGAACCGAGGAGGGACGGUGGCGCGGUAGGAUGCUGAAUACCCCCGAACUAACAUGUGUUAGACGGACUCCAUCAGGUACAAGUGUGUGUGGGGGGGGGUGAGCUCAGGGAAGACAUGGAGAGAGAGAGUGUGGGGGAGCUAAGCACAACCUUGUCCUACUUAAGUUCGAGCGUGCCGCUAUCGCUAUCCUAAUGUGCUCACGGCUCCGUGCGAGUGACGUCAGGAUUAAGCCUGCAGACACCUCGAGCCCGACCGCCGGACCACGACAGGAGCUGGGCUGUGGGGGGCCAGGGGCCGGGGGCCGACACGAAGCGAACCACAAGGUCUGAAUGAACACCACGGCCAUUAUUAGAGGUCUGAUUAAACAAAACACACAACAUUUAGUCAGGGAGACGAUGAGCGGCCUGACGUAAGCAGCCGUGGAAGGAGCGGGUGAGUUUAUGGGAUGUUAGCUAUGCCCCAGCCCAACCCAUGAUCCACAUCUGACCUUUGACCCUAGACCUUUCCCCUACCCCAACCCCCGACGAGUUUUGUAAUCUUGGGAAGACGCGUGUUCUGCACGUCCGUGUCC
ensembl:lncRNA